UGCAGUCGAGCGGACCGACGGGAGCUUGCUCCCUUAGGUCAGCGGCGGACGGGUGAGUAACACGUGGGUAACCUGCCUGUAAGACUGGGAUAACUCCGGGAAACCGGGGCUAAUACCGGAUGCUUGAUUGAACCGCAUGGUUCAAUCAUAAAAGGUGGCUUUUAGCUACCACUUACAGAUGGACCCGCGGCGCAUUAGCUAGUUGGUGAGGUAACGGCUCACCAAGGCGACGAUGCGUAGCCGACCUGAGAGGGUGAUCGGCCACACUGGGACUGAGACACGGCCCAGACUCCUACGGGAGGCAGCAGUAGGGAAUCUUCCGCAAUGGACGAAAGUCUGACGGAGCAACGCCGCGUGAGUGAUGAAGGUUUUCGGAUCGUAAAACUCUGUUGUUAGGGAAGAACAAGUACCGUUCGAAUAGGGCGGUACCUUGACGGUACCUAACCAGAAAGCCACGGCUAACUACGUGCC
rnacentral:rRNA from 1 species